AACGAACGCUGGCGGCAUGCCUAACACAUGCAAGUCGAACGAGACCUUCGGGUCUAGUGGCGCACGGGUGCGUAACGCGUGGGAACCUGCCCUUAGGUUCGGAAUAACUCCCCGAAAGGGGUGCUAAUACCGGAUAAUGUCUUCGGACCAAAGAUUUGUCGCCUUUGGAUGGGCCCGCGUUGGAUUAGCUAGUUGGUAGGGUAAAAGCCUACCAAGGCGACGAUCCAUAGCUGGUCUGAGAGGAUGAUCAGCCACACUGGGACUGAGACACGGCCCAGACUCCUACGGGAGGCAGCAGUGGGGAAUAUUGGACAAUGGGCGAAAGCCUGAUCCAGCAAUGCCGCGUGAGUGAUGAAGGCCUUAGGGUUGUAAAGCUCUUUUACCCGGGAUGAUAAUGACAGUACCGUGAGAAUAAGCUCCGGCUAACUCCGUG
rnacentral:rRNA from 1 species